rnacentral:rRNA from 1 species
UACGUUCCCGGACCUUGUACACACCGCCCGUCAAGCCAUGGAAGCCGGGGGUACCUGAAGACGGUGACUUCAAUGGGAGCUGUCUAAAGGUAAAAACUGGUGACUGGGGCU